rnacentral:lncRNA from 10 species
GGAGGAUGUGCGAGAGUAGAUGUGUGGGAGAGAUGGAUUGUGAUACCUCAGCAUAGGGGUGGUUUGUGGUUUCAUCUGUCAACAUCAUAACAGGGCACAGUGACUUUUGAAGACGUGGCUGUGAAAUUUACCCAGGAGGAAUGGAAUCUCCUUAGUGAGGCUCAGAGAUGCCUGUACCGUGAUGUGACUCUGGAGAACCUGGCACUUAUGUCCUCCCUGGAUGGAGUUUCGCUCUUGUUGCCCAAGCUGGAGUGCAAUGGUGCCAUCUCGGCUCACUGCAACCUCCACCUCCUGGGUUCAAGCAAUUCUCCUGCCUCAGCCUCCCAAGUAGCUAGUAUUACAGGCACCUGCCACCACAGCAGGCUAAUUUUUGUAUUUUCGGUAGAGACAGGGUUUCACCAUGCUGACCAGGCUAGUCUUGAACUCCUGACCGGGUGAUCUGCCUGCCUCGGCCUCAAAGUGCUGGAAUUGCAGGCGUGAGCCACUGUGCCUGGCCAGUUGUAACUAUUUAUCACUGUCUGGACUCAUAAACAUUUUGAGAUGACUUUGGGAGUGCCUGGGGAGUUUCAUUCAGCCUGGUGCAUAUGGGCAGUGAAAAAUAUGCUCAUCUGUGAUAGUAGAUGUGGUUUGGUUCACAAAUCCAGGGGCUGGGCUUUAAACGGCAUUAGGUGGACAGAGGAGGGUUGCUACAGCUGAGGUCUCAGCUGGUGCAGCACAAAAGUGAAAUAGGGCCAUGGCUAUCUGAAGCCAUAUGUGGUUCUGUGUGGCUAUGGAGUCAUUCCAGGAGACGUUCACAGGAUGAUUUGGGAUUACCACUGCUAUUGUAAACCAUGGAAAUUCUGUGUUAAUAUUGGAUGCUAUUUGUAUUUGUCAAGCAUAGUCUGGAUGCUUAUCCACAUUUUGGUAUAAGGCCAGAAUUGAAGGCCCAAUAUGAUGUGUCACUUUGACAUCUUGUGAAAGUGGGACAACCUUAAAAGGUGUGAGUACAAAUCUCAUUCCCACUCUGCUCUCUUGAAUAAUGUAUCCUAGCCUAACAGCCCGUUUUAUCAAGGUGAUAAGGCAGGGUUCCAGGUUGUUAUAUUUUGUGGUGGGUUUCAAUUCCAUCCCUACCAGCAGAGUUAUGGAAACAAACCAUUGCAUAUUCCCAAGGGAAUCAUGGGCCGUUAUACCCUCUUCAUCUUGUGAAAUAAUUUUAUUUGUAGGCGCUGGGUGUGGUGGCUCACCCCUAUAAUCUCCUCACUUUCAGAGGCCAAGGCUGGUGGAUCACUUGAGACCAGAAAUUCAAGACCAGCCUGGCCAACAUGGUGAAACCCCGUCUCUACUAAAAAAAAAAAAUACAGGCCAGGCAUGGUGGCUCAAGCCUGGAAUCCCAGCACUUUGGGAUGCUGAGGUGGGUGGAUCAGGAAGUAUGGAGAUCGAGACCAUCCUGGCUAACACAGUGAAACCCCGUCUCUACUAAAAAAAAAAAAAUACAAAAAAUUAGCCAGCUGUGGUGGUGGGCACCUGUAGUCCCAGCUACUCGGGAGGCUGAGGCAGGAG